GUUGGCUAUCAUGGCCCAAGAUGGAGGACCACGUGAGCAUGUGAUUAACAUGGACUGGCUGGAACAAGAAAUAGUUAUGGAAGAGAAGCUGGAAAGAGGAAGAGAAGAACAA